UACGUAGGGUGCGAGCGUUGUCCGGAAUUAUUGGGCGUAAAGGGCUCGUAGGCGGUUUGUCGCGUCGGGAGUGAAAUCCACUGGCUUAACUGGUGGCUUGCUUUCGAUACGGGCAGACUGGAGGUAUGCAGGGGAGAACGGAAUUCCUGGUGUAGCGGUGAAAUGCGCAGAUAUCAGGAGGAACACCGGUGGCGAAGGCGGUUCCUGC
rnacentral:rRNA from 1 species